rnacentral:tRNA from 1 species
GUAAUUAUGUCAGAAGUUUAUGAGAUAGCUUUAAGCGCUAUUUAUGGCAUUGCCUAAUUACU